rnacentral:rRNA from 1 species
AAGUCGAACGGGAUCCAAGAAGUGCUUGCACUUUUUGGUGAGAGUGGCGAACGGGUGAGUAACACGUGAGUAACCUGUCCUUUUCUUUGGGAUAAGCAUCCGAAAGGGUGUUUAAUACCUUAUGUUCUGUCUGCCUCGCAUGGGGUGGGUGGGAAAGAUUUUUUCGGUAAAGGGUGGGCUCGCGGUCUAUCAGCUUGUUGGUGGGGUGAUGGCCUACCAAGGCUUUGACGGGUAGCCGGCCUGAGAGGGUGGUCGGUCACAUUGGGACUGAGAUACGGCCCAGACUCCUGCGGGAGGCAGCAGUGGGGGAUAUUGCACAAUGGGCGAAAGCCUGAUGCAGCGACGCCGCGUGGGGGAUGAAGGCCUUCGGGUUGUAAACUUCUUUUGCUCUGAACAAGGCGCACCGUGGGGUGUGUUGAGUGUAGGGGUUGAUUAGCGCCGGCUAACUACGUGCCAGCAGCCGCGGUAAUACGUAGGGCGCGAGCGUUGUCCGGAAUUAUUGGGCGUAAAGGGCUUGUAGGUGGCUGGUUGCGUCUGUCGUGAAAGCUCAUGGCUUAACUGUGGGUUUGCGGUGGGUACGGGCUGGCUUGAGUGCAGUAGGGGAGGCUGGAAUUCCUGGUGUAGCGGUGGAAUGCGCAGAUAUCAGGAGGAAU